rnacentral:rRNA from 1 species
GUUUGAUGUUCUAACGUGGGCCCCUUACCGGGGUUGCGGACAGUGUCUGGUGGGUAGUUUGACUGGGGCGGUCUCCUCCUAAAGAGUAACGGAGGAGCACGAAGGUUGGCUAAUCCUGGUCGGACAUCAGGAGGUUAGUGCAAUGGCAUAAGCCAGCUUGACUGCGAGCGUGACGGCGCGAGCAGGUGCGAAAGCAGGUCAUAGUGAUCCGGUGGUUCUGAAUGGAAGGGCCAUCGCUCAACGGAUAAAAGGUACUCCGGGGAUAACAGGCUGAUACCGCCCAAGAGUUCAUAUCGACGGCGGUGUUUGGCACCUCGAUGUCGGCUCAUCACAUCCUGGGGCUGAAGUAGGUCCCAAGGGUAUGGCUGUUCGCCAUUUAAAGUGGUACGCGAGCUGGGUUUAGAACGUCGUGAGACAGUUCGGUCCCUAUCUGCCGUGGGCGCUGGAGAACUGAGGGGGGCUGCUCCUAGUACGAGAGGACCGGAGUGGACGCAUCACUGGUGUUCGGGUUGUCAUGCCAAUGGCACUGCCCGGUAGCUAAAUGCGGAAGAGAUAAGUGCUGAAAGCAUCUAAGCACGAAACUUGCCCCGAGAUGAGUUCUCCCUGACUCCUUGAGAGUCCUGAAGGAACGUUGAAGACGACGACGUUGAUAGGCCGGGUGUGUAAGCGCAGCGAUGCGUUGAGCUAACCGGUACUAAUGAACCGUGAGGCUUAACCUUACAACGCCGAAG